UACGUAGGGGGCUAGCGUUGUCCGGAUUUAUUGGGCGUAAAGAGCGUGUAGGCGGCCAGGUAGGUCUGCUGUGAAAACUCGAGGCUCAACCUCGAGAUGUCGGCGGAAACCAUCUGGCUAGAGUCCGGAAGAGGAGAGCGGAAUUCCUGGUGUAGCGGUGAAAUGCGCAGAUAUCAGGAAGAACACCCGUGGCGAAGGCGGCUCUCUGGGACGGUACUGACGCUGAGACGCGAAAGCGUGGGGAGCGAACAGG
rnacentral:rRNA from 1 species